rnacentral:lncRNA from 1 species
AGAAUUAGGAGGUGGGGUGGUUGGGAGGGGAUUAGCUCAUGAGGGUGGAGCCCUCAUGAAUGGGAUUAGUGCCCUUAUAAAAGAGGCUCCAGAGAGCUGUUUAGCCCUUUUUCUGCCAUUGUGCAGUCUGCAGUCUGGAAGAGAAUCCUCAGCAGAACCUGACUGUGCCAGCACCAUGAUUUCAGACUUUCAGCCUCCAGAAUUGUGAGAAGUAAAUGUUUGUUUUUUAAGCCACCUAGUCUAUGGUGAUUUGUUAUAGCAGCCCAAACUAAGACAGAGGAUAUGGCAUCAAACUGCUGAAUCACUGGUGAUGUUAAUCUUGAUUAGUUGGUGAAGACUUGGCAAGAUAGCUCUGGAAGAUAGCUCCAGCUCAGGAAGAAGACCCUGCAGCCCAUUUCCUUUCAAAAGGCAGAGAUGAACAUUUUCCCUGGCCGUCUUGAAAUACACCAAUAUGUUUGGAAAUAAAGAGACUUGGCUUCCUGGUCCUGCUCUAAGAUGGGAGCUUAAACCUAUGGAAUGUGACACCACUUUGGGCAAAAACAGAAUUCUUAGCAAAGAAAUCAUUGAUGUUAAGGUGCUGGAAAAGAUAGGCUGCAAAAGAUAGGCUUGCACCAUGAAGCUCUAACUCCAUUAGAGAAGACACACAUUUAGCCAUCACAAGGUGGUAUGGACACUUAAAGGUCUCCAUUUACUUGAUCAAAAAGUCUAGGAGAGGGGUCAGCAAACUAGACUUUCUUUCCAUAAAAGGCUGGAUAGUAAAUAUCGUAGGCUUUGGUGCCACAUAGACUAUGACAACUACUCAACUCUACCUUCAUAUUUUGAAAGCACUCAUAGACAAUGUUUAAACAAUUGGCAUGUUCCAAUAAAACUUUAUGGACACUGAGCUUUGAAUUUCCUAUACAGUUUCCCACCGAAUAACAAUGUUUGGGUCAAGAAGGGACUGUAUUAUACAACAGCGAUCUCAUAAGAUUAUAACGAAGUUCAAAAAUUCUUAUCACCCAGUGUUUACCAUACUUUUAAAAUUUAUUUUAUAGUCUAUUCCUUCUACUUAUUUUAAAAGUUAACUGUAAACAGUCCCAAGCAGGUCGUUCAGGAGAAGGUAUUCCAGAGGAAGGCAUAGUUAUCAUAGGAGAUGACAGCUCCAUGCGUAUUAUCGUCUCUGAAGGCCUUUAGUGGAGCAAGAUGUAGAAGUGGAAGGCAGUCACAGUGAUGAUCCUGACCCUGGGCAGGCCUAGGCUAAUGUAUGUGUUUGUGUCAUAGUUUUUAACAAAAGCCUUAAAAAGUUAAAAAUAGAAAAACGCUUAUAGAAAAGGGAUAUAAAGAAUAAAACUAUUCUUGUUCAGCAGUGCAAUGUGUUUGCAUUUUAAGCUAAGUGUUAUUACAAAAGAAUCAAUAAGUUAAGAUUAAAAAGUUUAUAAAAUAAAAUAGUUAUAGUAAGCUAAGGUCAAUUAUUAUUGAAGAAAGAAAAAUACUUUUGUAUAAAUUUAGUGUAGUUUCUGUAUACAGUGUGUAUAAAGUCUAUCAUAGUGUACAGUAAUGUCCUAGGCCUUCACAUUCGCUCACCACUCACUGACUCACCCAGAGCACCUUCCAGUUCUGCAAGCUCCAUUCCCAGUAAGUGUCCUAUAUAGGUGUAUUAUCUUUUACCUUUUAUGCUGUAUUUUUACUGACCUCUCUUAUGUUUAGAUACAUAAAUACUUACUAUAUUAUGGUUGCCUAUAGUAUUUAGUACAAUAACAUACUGUACAGGUUUGUAGUCUAGGUGUGUAGGAGGCUGUCCCAUCUAAGUUUAUGUAAGUACACACCCCAAUGUUUGCUCAAUGGUGAGAUCACCUAAUGAUGCAUUUCUCAGAAUAUAUUCUUAUCGUUAAGAGAUGCAUGACUGUACUUUGCGUAUAUCAUAAAAUCUUUUCCUUCUGAUUCUUUUCAACCAUUUAAAAAUGUAAAAAUCAUGCUUUGCUGAUAGUCACAGGGCAUUAGAGAAGAUCUAAGGAAAGAGCAUCUAAACUGAGAGCUGGGGAGAAGUAAAAUUAAUCAAGGGCAAGUUUGGAGGAGGGGUGAAUUAGAGCAUACUCCUAGUUGAAGUUCCCUGAGGAGCAAUAGAAAAAUUUGCACAAAAGGCCAGCUGUGAUGGCUCACACCUGUAAUCCCAGCACUUUGGGAGGCAGAGGUGGGUGGAUAGCUUGAGGUCAGGAGUUUGAGACCAGUGUGGUCAAUGUGGCAAAACCCCGUCUCUGAAAAUACAAAAAUUAGCCAGGCGUGGUGGUACAUGCCUGUAAUUCCAGUUACUCGGGAGGCUGAAGCAGGAGAAUUGCAUGAACUUGGGAGGCAGAGGUUGCAGUGAGCUAAGAUCAUGCCACUGCACUCCAGCCUGAGGGACACAGCAAGACUCCGUAUCAAAAAAAAAAAAAAAAAAAAAAGUUCACUCUGUUGAAGCUUUCUACCCUUAAUAAAAGCAGUUCAGGAUAUACAUAGCAAGGGGAAACUUUUUUGUAACUUUCAAAUCACACAACACAUGUGACCACCUAAGUUGACUACCAGGAAGACUGGACUGACUAUAUACGCUGAGUGUAAUUUUCAUUGUAUUGCAUUUGCCUGAAGGCCUGUGAAAGCCACAAAUGAUUACCUUAUUUUCUUGCUACUUUGGCAAAGCAGAUAUAUUAGUGCAGAAAAUAUGAGAUCACAAGUGUGUGUUCAUUUAACAAUGCUUUGGCAAUAUAAGUUCCAGUUGUCCUUUAGCUCCAUUGGUACAAUUUUUUGUAACAUUGGACAAGUCACUUUCCUUCCUUUACGUCUCCAUUGGUACCCGCUAAGUAAAACCAAUAUCUACCAUCAAGUCCACCAUAGUUAUCCUAAAGCACACAAAAUAUUCUGCCAUGCAUAUCAAAAGAAAAUCCUCAAUUUUAGAGACACUAGAUAAGUAUGUAUCUAAGAGUAAACAUUCAUAUUGUACAAAGAAUAAAUUAAUUCAAAUUCUGAUUUUAAAAAAAUUCCUGGAGGAUGGCUUGAGGCCAGGAGUUUGAGACCAGCAUUGGCAUCAUGGUAAGACUCCCAUCUCUACAAAAAAAAAAAAAAAAAAAUUAGCCAGGCAUGAGGGCAUGUGCCUGUAGUCCUAGCUACACAGGAGGUUGAGGAAGGAGGAUCACUUGAUCCCAGGGGUAUAAAGCUAUAAGCUAUCAUCGAGCCACUGAAUUCUAGCCUGGGCAACAGAGUGAGAUCCUGUCUCUAAAAAAUUAAAUUAAAUUAAAAAAUUAAAAGUUACUGAGUGUGGUGUUGUAUAUUUGAAAAUACGAUAUGGUUUUCACUAUUUGGCUGCUCUCAAAACACGUGCAUUUGGAAGCCAUGGUUUUUUCAGUUUCUUUUUAAACUGAUGUGGAAAAUAAAGUAGAUUAAUAACAUUCAAUUUUAAUCAAUAUCAAAUUUGUUCCAUGUGCUAAAAUGCAAGAUAAUCUAGCAAAAAAUAGUGAGCAUGUAUUUGGUGCUGGGUUCAAUACUUGAGUGGAGAUAAGGCAAAAAGAUUUUCCUGCUAAUCAAGCCAGCACUGUGUGCUUGCAAUAUUAAUUUAACAUAACCACAGUAACUAAAGUGUUAAGUGCUAUCAAGGGUUUGAAUCCACAAAGGUUAGUAAAUAAAUAAAUAAAGCAGCCCUUCUGCUCAUUAGGAAGCCAUCCAAAGCCCGGAAGAGAGAAUCAAGUUCCUAAUUUAUGAGUCAGCCACUUAAAAAAAAAAAAAAAAAAAAAAAAAAAAAAGAGUCAAAGCUAACACACUCAUUCCAACAGCUUUUCCCAUGCUGGUCUUUCUGGAAAGAUAAAUUCCUGCAGGAUUAUUUUUUGGAAUUACUACCAGUAAGUUCUAUUAUACUGUCAGACCUAGAAAAAAUUAUUUCACUAGGACUUCAAACAUGAGAUUGAAUAAAUGAUUAUGGCAAAUUGUUGUUCCUAAUUAAUUAAAAUGAUUUAUAUGGCAUGCUGUGUAACUGAAGAAUGCAAAAAGUGAAAAAAAAGAAUGUCUUUGUAGUAAAGUAGAUUUGUGUAAGUGGAAUAAAAGCAUAAGAAUAAGCUUCCAUGAGCGAGUUCUACAACUGAGUCAUCUAUUUAGCCUUCAUUUUUGGCAGCAUCAUUGACCAGUGAGCAGGGAUUUACCAGAAAAUUGUUGACCACAAUAAUCAAAUUUUGCAACAAAAAUUCACAGAUUGGACGUCAUGCCGUUGACUAUAUAAGACAAGUUAGAAGACACAAUCUAUUUUGCUUUUGAUUCUCAAAAGCAACAGUUUGUUUUAUGCUUUUAAAAUUCCCCAUUAAAAUAACUUCUGAUUCUAUUCUCAUUGUCUCUUUUGCUCCUGGUUCCCUUCCUUCACCUCCCCUCCUGCUCCCUCCAAUUCUGACCCACUGUGGUCUCCUGGCAUUGUUCUGACAUUUGCCUGGCAGAACAUAAAACAACAAAUAUGUUCAAUUUGAGUGGUUUCCUGCAAUGUUAUUCUAUCAAACUGGCAAUUUCCGAAAGGAUUUAGAAAGGAGCAUACAAUUCCUCAGACACCGGGAGGUCUGACAGUGACUGCCAAAACAGUCCAUGCUUUUAGCGGGCCGUAAUAUCUGAGCACACAAAAACAUCCCUUUUUCUCAGGUUUAUUUUUUAUGCUUAAUACCGAACAGACUUCAGAGACUUUCUAAGUGGCCAGAGAGUACUAUAUUUAGCACCUUAAAACUCAAAGGAGUUUAGAAUAUUUUGAUAUGCAUGGUGCAUGGAGAUCCAAUUUAUUCUACAGCAGUCACCUAUGGUAAUGAAAUGUUAAUCAAGAUAUUUAAAUUACAGCUAAUGGAAUGAUGGCAUCGUAUAAGGACCAGAUGUAAAAUUCAUUACCAUAGGCUCUGUUUAUUCCCUGUAUAGUCAUUUCCUGCUCCCCUCACCCAACAUUUGACAUUUCCAAGAUGGUGGCAGCUUUGGAAAUUUUAUGAUUUGAUUGUGGUUUGGCUUGAGUUCAAAUUAUAGGGUCUGAAUUUGAUCAAAUUAGACAACUAAUGCCUCAGGCAGGAACAGUGCAUGCCAAUGUCAAUGGUGUUAAGAUGUACUAUAGCAUUAACUUGAGACAGAAUACUGCAAACCCUUAUGGUUCAUAAUACUUCAUGUCCACAAACUAUCCUUAAAACUAUAAUAGAUGGAUGUGGCCUGUGAUGUAUUAUUAUUAUUUCAGCUCUUGGAGGGCUGAAAUCUUUUGAUCCAGAAACAUGGACUUCUUGUGAGUCAAUUCAUUUGUGUUCACCAAUGUGUACAGCAACCACAUCCUUAACCCUCCCUCCUCUGCAAAAGCAGCAUUGUUGAGGAGUCAUGGUGGCAUGCUUGUGUGACUUGUCUCAUACUCUACUGCAGUUAUUGUAUUCAUUCUUCCAUUUCAUGUCAAAUUCUGGCACUGUGUUAAAAGACAUUCCAGUGUAGUUUUUGCUUUAAAACAAGAGAAAUGAGUUUAUAGAUUCCUGCUCAGAAGAUAUUUGAAUAAACAAAUCCUUACAUUUUUAUCUUUGAUGAAAACUCAUCUUGUUUUAUUUCCCUUAUGCAGGCUGUCUCAUAUCCUAAAAUUCAGCAAGCACAAGGGACACAGUCUUUGGGCUUCAUGCAGUGUGACAACAUGGCCUUUUGGCAAAACAUCCUAGCACCAGGCAGUGUCCUAAAUAAUGCCUUGUAAGUAGUUGUAAGCCCUUAGCUCUGGAAGGGCUUCCAUAACUGUGUCCUCUCUCAAACUUCUGAGGUCCUGGGAGCUAGUAGAGUAAGGAAAGAUGUUUAGUUUCCCUGCCUGACAGCACCCACCUCCAACCUUCCUCUCCUGCAUGACUCCAAAUUUCAUCACUUCUCAGGUCUAAGAGGAAGGCUCUGAACAAAGCAUGAUGGUGUGGGAAAAAGUCACAGACUAGGACUCAGUUACCUGGUGUUUGCUUGGCAACUAACUGCAUGCCCUUGAGCAAGUGAUUCCACCUCCCAAGUCUUCAAUUUAUUCAAGUAAUCAAGUAAGAGGUUACAGUCCAUGAUUUAAUAACAGAAACAGUGACUGAAUUCUUACACCUAAAACUGAAAAAAUAUUGAGUUAAUAGCAAUUAAUAUUGUUGAAAUAGAGUAGAUGUCAAUUCCUCCUAUAUAAAUAAUGCCCUGCUUGCCUUUAUGAUACUUUUGUAGCAAUUACUUUACUGUAUGCAUGUUAAUCAAAAGAUCACACUGGGCGUUUGGGACUUCACCUCUGGCUUUGGUAUGAACCAGGUCUUAAAUAACCGUGUGACCUCAAUAGCUCACUUAUUUUUCUUACCUGAAAAACAAAGAAAAGAGAUCGAUUUCAUGGUCGCCAAAAUCUCUUUGUCUGUUAUCCCAUAAAUGAUGCCUAUGCUCAGCCUGGUGCCUUUGGGAAAGUCAAUGAAAGCAAACAUAAGAUGAUUAAGAGCUAAACUAUGUCUUUAGCAUGACACAGGUUUGCCUCAAACCUGGAAACUGGAACUCUUAGAAUUAAUAGCAGGAAAACAAGUUAUUGUAUAAUUGAUUUUUCCUUAAAGUAUGCAUUUUCAUUUAUCAAUUACCACG